GCAUGCUCAGUAUAAGUCAUAGCAUCACGAAUCAAAUUCUCCAAAAAAAUCUUCAACACUCCUCGUAAAUAACCCCACUGACUCUCUUCACUCCACAUCUCCUCGCUAAUCUCCUAAUUGCCGGCUUGAUAAUUCCCUAGACAUUGUCACAAAGCACCUUACACAAUCAUUUUCUUCUACACUCCUCGUAAAUCACCCCACUGGCUCUCUUCACAUCUCCUUGCUAAUCUCCUAAUUGCCAGCUUGAUAAUUCCCUAGACAUUGUCACAAAGCACCUUACACUAUCAUUUUCUUCAACACUCCUCGUAAAUCACCCCACUGGCUCUCUUCACUCCACAUCUCCUCGCUAAUCUCCUAAUUGCCAGCUUGAUAAUUCCCUAGACAUUGUCACAAAGCACCUUACAUUAUCAUUUUGCUACUCACAAACACUUUUUCAACACAAAGAUGGACAAAUACCAAACUUCAAUAAAUUGAAACGCAUAAAACAAUGGCUCAAUAAAAUCUCAAACUAUCAUUCACUAAAAAUGAAUAGUUAUUAUGUUUUUGGGGCCAAUUCAACAAGUAGAAACGCGAAAACUCAAGUUCAGAAACUUCUUGAAUCAUAAAAACUUUCAACAAAAUGAAACCAUCCUUCACAUUCAUAGCAAAAAAGACCAAAUCUAAGCUGAAAUGAGAUAUUUCAUAGAUCAAAUCAUAGUAAAUUAAAUCAACAAACUAAAACAUACAAUCCUUAAUAAGAAUGCAUAUAAUAUACCCUUAGCAUUUAGCCAAUCCACAAAUUAACCACCAAACCCAUAAAGGGUCCUUCCCUGUAUCUUGAGAGCAUAAACAACAUCCAUAUCGGUAACAGACUUUCUCCUAGCAUGCUCAGUAUAAGUCACUGCAUCACAAAUCACAUUCUCCAAAAAGAUCUUCAACACUCCUCGUGUCUCCUCAUAAAUCAGCCCACUAAUUCUCUUCACUCCACCUCUUCUCACCACCUUCCUAAGCACCUUACAAUUUCAUUUUACUACUCACAAACAAUCUCUCAUCACAAACAUCAACAAGUACCAAGCUUCAAUAAAUUGAAACACACAAGACACCAGUUCGACAAAAUCAAAAAAAUUAUUCACCAAAUAUACAUAGUUACAUUAUUCUGGACCAGUUCAAAACAUAGAAACAUAAAAACACACAUGCAUAAUCUUCUUGUAUCAUAAAUUUUCAAUGAAAUGAAAUCAUUCUUCACAUUCAUAGCAAAAAAGACCAAAUCUAACUUGAAAUAAGAUAUUUCAUAGAUUCAUAAAACAUAUCCAACUACAUCAUCAACAAACUAAAAGAUAAAUUUCAAUAAGACCACAUACACUAAACUCCUCCCUAAAACCCACACAUAACAAACACAAUUGUGCAUCAGAUUCCCAAAUUAACCGCCAAACCCAUAAAGGGUCCGCCCCUGUCUCUUGAGAGCAUAAACAACAUCCAUAGCAGUAACAGUCUUUCUCCUAGCAUGCUCAGUAUAAGUCACUGAAUCACGAAUCACAUUCUCCAAAAAGAUCUUCAACACUCCCCGUGUCUCCUCGUAAAUCAGCCCACUGAUUCUCUUCACUCCACCUCUCCUCGCUAGCCUCCUAAUCGCCGGCUUGGUGAUUCCCUGAAUGUUGUCACGAAGCACCUUACGGUGACGCUUUGCUCCUCCCUUUCCUAAGCCC
rnacentral:lncRNA from 1 species